UACGGGGGGAGCAAGCGUUGCUCGGAAUCACUGGGCGUAAAGGGUGCGUAGGCGGGUCUUUAAGUCAGGGGUGAAAUCCUGGAGCUCAACUCCAGAACUGCCUUUGAUACUGAAGAUCUUGAGUUCGGGAGAGGUGAGUGGAACUGCGAGUGUAGAGGUGAAAUUCGUAGAUAUUCGCAAGAACACCAGUGGCGAAGGCGGCUCACUGGCCCGGUACUGACGCUGAGGCACGAAAGCGUGGGGAGCAAACAGG
rnacentral:rRNA from 1 species